AAGAAAUUGAUGUAGACAUUAAGAAUUCUUUGACUUUUAGACAAGGAGAUGGCGUGGUUACAAUAAAAUGUCCUGUUGAUGACAAGCCGAGCCAUCUAUAUGUAAUCUCACAUUAUAAAAUGUCUAACAUAGAAAAUGUGUUGGUGAAGGAGAAAUAGAAAUUCAGCGAAGCUACCAUCAUACAAAUGACAACCAUCCGCUUAAUACCAGUCUUAAUCAAACAAUACAGUAUCCACUAGUAUUUGAUGCUAUGCUAAGAGAUCCCAAGCGUGAAACUCGCAAAAGCAAGACACCAAUUUGAUUAUUAUAUGCAAAAAUAAAUUUAUUUAAUAAACAAAACAUUAUAAUAUUAUAUUAUA
rnacentral:lncRNA from 1 species